AGAACAAUGCAUUGAUCAUUUUGACAAUGCUAAAAAAAGUAUGCAAUACUUGUCUAAAAUUAUUUUAAUUACAAAUACUUUUGGAUGCUUUGUUUUGUUGUUUGUUGCAGGAGCUUGAAUUCCUAAUUUAGCCAUAAGGGAGGGGGCAUAUGAAAAUGAAACAUAUUUCAGUAGAUUCCCUAGAUUUGAUUAUAACCAUAUAAUAUUUUAAUCAUCCAUAAGCCUGGUAUUUCAUUAAUUUGAAAUCUGUAUUAUUCAAAUAUGUAAUAGUGUGUAAUACACUAUGAAGCACUAACUGCAUAUGUUCAUUUUUAUUUUUAUUUUUUAGAAGAAAGUUUUUCUAAAGCUCUUCCUGUUGGGAACACAAGGAGUGCAAGAUAAUGCCUUCCUUUCUUUAACUAAAAAAAAGAUAUCCAUGAAUUUAAAAAGUCCUGACACAAAGGACAAAAGACAAAAAAAAUCCACUCUAUUCUCAGCAAAUUGGACGUGGCUUUGACAUUUUAAAGGAACUGUGUUCCCUUCCAUUAACUUUCUGGGAGUUACAUUAUGGAUGAUACCGAAGAAACAAACUAUUGGAACUGGCUGGGAAAUUCUGGAAGUUGAAGUACACAUAUUUGAAAGAUGCUAAGGUUGGCAACACUGGCCUAGAGUAUUAGACUAAAGACACAGUCCACUAUCAGGAUAAUACAGAUUCCUCCAGUAUCCUUCAUGGUGAAAUAACCAGAUGAAUCAGCCCAUAUAUAGAAGAUUGUUAAGCAUUUUAAGGAAGGAAGUACUACAAUUUUUAAUCAAUGUCACUAGAAGUACUGCAUGUUCACUUAAU